rnacentral:rRNA from 1 species
ACGCUCGACACCUACGGGGGCAGCAGUGGGGGAUAUUGCACAAUGGAGGAAACUCUGAUGCAGCGACGCCGCGUGAGGGAAGACGGUUUUCGGAUUGUAAACCUCUGUCUUCAGGGACGAAAUGAAUGACGGUACCUGAGGAGGAAGCUCCGGCUAACUACGUGCCAGCAGCCGCGGUAAUCUGAGCGGGCUGGCAAGGC